UUGUUUGAUCAGUGGCGAACGGGUGAGUAACACGUGAGUAACCUGCCCCAGACUCUGGGAUAACCCCGGGAAACCGGAGCUAAUACCGGAUAUGACACCAANNSGCAUNGGCAUGGUGUGGAAAGUUUUUCGGUCUGGGAUGGACUCGCGGCCUAUCAGCUUGUUGGUGAGGUAGUGGCUCACCAAGGCGACGACGGGUAGCCGGCCUGAGAGGGCGACCGGCCACACUGGGACUGAGACACGGCCCAGACUCCUACGGGAGGCAGCAGUGGGGAAUAUUGCACAAUGGGCGAAAGCCUGAUGCAGCGACGCCGCGUGAGGGAUGACGGCCUUCGGGUUGUAAACCUCUUUCAGCAGGGAAGAAGCGCAAGUGACGUACCUGCAGA
rnacentral:rRNA from 1 species